UACGAAAGGAGCAGGUGUUAUUCAGAUUAACUGGGCGUAAAGGGCACGUAGGUGGUUUGUUAUGUGUACUAUAAAAUUAUAAAGCAUAACUUUAUACUGUAGUAUAGACAACUAAACUAGAGUUAGGUAGAGGGUAGUAGAAUUUCUAAUGUAAAGGUGAAAUUUGAUAAAUUUAGAGAGAAUACCAAUGGCGGAGGCAACUACCUAGGCCUUAGCUGACACUGAGGUGCGAAGGUAUGGGGAGCAAAUAGG
rnacentral:rRNA from 1 species